rnacentral:tRNA from 1 species
AGGGGUAUAGCUCAAUUGGAAGAGUGGCGGUCUCCAAAACCGUAGGUUGCAGGUUCGAGUCCUGUUACCCCUGC